GAGUCCUCUGUAGAUGCUUGAAUGGUUGUGUUCUUUCACUCCUUAUUUGGGAGCUUUCCUUAAGGAAAUGGCACUCUAAAGCAGCAAUUAUAAUAGAUCCCUCCCUCUCUCAGUACCCCAAUGUUUAACUGCAAACAAGCACUAGCCAUCAAGAACCGAGAGAUAGCUAGAUGACACUGAUUUCACCAUGUAUUCUCAUAUUCUUCUCACUAUCUUAUUUUUGAAAGAUGUAAGAAUUAUCAUAUUUGCAUAGGUGUCCAGUGUUCAUGAGACAAUACUCUUUUAUGGAUGG
rnacentral:lncRNA from 1 species